rnacentral:rRNA from 1 species
GACGAACGCUGGCGGCGUGCUUAACACAUGCAAGUCGAACGGAAAGGCCCUGCUCUUGUGGGGUUCUCGAGUGGCGCACGGGUGAGUAACACGUGAGUAACCUGCCCUUUACUUUGUGAUAACUUCAGGAAACUGCGGCUAAUACCGGAUAGGAGCUCCUGCUGCAUGGUGGUGGUUGGAAAGUUUCGGCGGUUGGGGAUGGACUCGCGGCUUAUCAGCUUGUUGGUGGGGUAGUGGCUUACCAAGGGUUAGACGGGUAGCCGGCCUGAGAGGGGGACCAGGGACAUGAGGACUGAGAGAGGGAGCAGACGGCAACGGGAGGCAGUAGUGGAGAGUAUGGCACAGUGAGGGGAAGUGUGUUAAAACAGUGUCGGGAGCGGGAUGAAGGCUUACGGGGGGGAAACCGCUGUAGCCUGAGACGAAGCUGGAUUGACGGUAAUGGGUAAAGAAGCACCGGCUAACUACGUG